GAUCAUGGCUCAGGAUGAACGCUGGCGGCGUGCCUAAUACAUGCAAGUCGAGCGAACAGACAAGGAGCUUGCUCCUUUGACGUUAGCGGCGGACGGGUGAGUAACACGUGGGUAACCUACCUAUAAGACUGGGAUAACUUCGGGAAACCGGAGCUAAUACCGGAUAAUAUUUCGAACCGCAUGGUUCGAUAGUGAAAGAUGGUUUUGCUAUCACUUAUAGAUGGACCCGCGCCGUAUUAGCUAGUUGGUAAGGUAACGGCUUACCAAGGCGACGAUACGUAGCCGACCUGAGAGGGUGAUCGGCCACACUGGAACUGAGACACGGUCCAGACUCCUACGGGAGGCAGCAGUAGGGAAUCUUCCGCAAUGGGCGAAAGCCUGACGGAGCAACGCCGCGUGAGUGAUGAAGGUCUUCGGAUCGUAAAACUCUGUUAUUAGGGAAGAACAUACGUGUAAGUAACUAUGCACGUCUUGACGGUACCUAAUCAGAAAGCCACGGCUAACUACGUGCCAGCAGCCGCGGUAAUACGUAGGUGGCAAGCGUUAUCCGGAAUUAUUGGGCGUAAAGCGCGCGUAGGCGGUUUUUUAAGUCUGAUGUGAAAGCCCACGGCUCAACCGUGGAGGGUCAUUGGAAACUGGAAAACUUGAGUGCAGAAGAGGAAAGUGGAAUUCCAUGUGUAGCGGUGAAAUGCGCAGAGAUAUGGAGGAACACCAGUGGCGAAGGCGACUUUCUGGUCUGUAACUGACGCUGAUGUGCGAAAGCGUGGGGAUCAAACAGGAUUAGAUACCCUGGUAGUCCACGCCGUAAACGAUGAGUGCUAAGUGUUAGGGGGUUUCCGCCCCUUAGUGCUGCAGCUAACGCAUUAAGCACUCCGCCUGGGGAGUACGACCGCAAGGUUGAAACUCAAAGGAAUUGACGGGGACCCGCACAAGCGGUGGAGCAUGUGGUUUAAUUCGAAGCAACGCGAAGAACCUUACCAAAUCUUGACAUCCUUUGACAACUCUAGAGAUAGAGCCUUCCCCUUCGGGGGACAAAGUGACAGGUGGUGCAUGGUUGUCGUCAGCUCGUGUCGUGAGAUGUUGGGUUAAGUCCCGCAACGAGCGCAACCCUUAAGCUUAGUUGCCAUCAUUAAGUUGGGCACUCUAAGUUGACUGCCGGUGACAAACCGGAGGAAGGUGGGGAUGACGUCAAAUCAUCAUGCCCCUUAUGAUUUGGGCUACACACGUGCUACAAUGGACAAUACAAAGGGCAGCGAAACCGCGAGGUCAAGCAAAUCCCAUAAAGUUGUUCUCAGUUCGGAUUGUAGUCUGCAACUCGACUACAUGAAGCUGGAAUCGCUAGUAAUCGUAGAUCAGCAUGCUACGGUGAUACGUUCCCGGGUCUUGUACACACCGCCCGUCACACCACGAGAGUUUGUAACACCCGAAGCCGGUGGAGUAACCAUUUGGAGCUAGCCGUCGAAGGUGGGACAAAUGAUUGGGGUGAAGUCGUAACAAGGUAACCGUAGCGGA
rnacentral:rRNA from 1 species